rnacentral:rRNA from 1 species
UACGGAGGGGGCUAGCGUUGUUCGGAAUUACUGGGCGUAAAGCGCACGUAGGCGGAUAUUUAAGUCAGGGGUGAAAUCCCAGAGCUCAACUCUGGAACUGCCUUUGAUACUGGGUAUCUCGAGUAUGGAAGAGGUGAGUGGAAUUCCGAGUGUAGAGGUGAAAUUCGUAGAUAUUCGGAGGAACACCAGUGGCGAAGGCGGCUCACUGGUCCAUUACUGACGCUGAGGCGCGAAAGCGUGGGGAGCAAACAGG